AGGCCAUGGUGUGGGCAUAGUCUCAUAAGCUCCUUGAAUCUAUCCCAGGCCUCAUGCAGUGAUUUACCAUCCUUUUGAUAAAAAUCAGUGAUUUGGUUGCGCAA